rnacentral:rRNA from 1 species
GAUGAACGCUGGCGGCGUGCCUAAUACAUGCAAGUCGAGCGAACAGACGAGGAGCUUGCUCCUCUGACGUUAGCGGCGGACGGGUGAGUAACACGUGGAUAACCUACCUAUAAGACUGGGAUAACUUCGGGAAACCGGAGCUAAUACCGGAUAAUAUAUUGAACCGCAUGGUUCAAUAGUGAAAGACGGUUUUGCUGUCACUUAUAGAUGGAUCCGCGCCGCAUUAGCUAGUUGGUAAGGUAACGGCUUACCAAGGCAACGAUGCGUAGCCGACCUGAGAGGGUGAUCGGCCACACUGGAACUGAGACACGGUCCAGACUCCUACGGGAGGCAGCAGUAGGGAAUAUUCCGCAAUGGGCGAAAGCCUGACGGAGCAACGCCGCGUGAGUGAUGAAGGUCUUCGGAUCGUAAAACUCUGUUAUUAGGGAAGAACAAAUGUGUAAGUAACUAUGCACGUCUUGACGGUACCUAAUCAGAAAGCCCCGGCUAACUACGUG